UCAUCUUCGGGGGUAGAGCACUGUUUCGGCUAGGGGGUCAUCCCGACUUACCAACCCGAUGCAAACUACGAAUACCGAAGAAUGUUAUCACGGGAGACACACGGCGGGUGCUAACGUCCGUCGUGAAGAGGGAAACAACCCAGACCGCCAGCUAAGGUCCCAAAGUCAUGGUUAAGUGGGAAACGAUGUGGGAAGGCACAGACAGCCAGGAUGUUGGCUUAGAAGCAGCCAUCAUUUAAAGAAAGCGUAAUAGCUCACUGGUCGAGUCGGCCUGCGCGGAAGAUGUAACGGGGCUAAACCAUGCACCGAAGCUGCGGCAGCGACACUAUGUGUUGUUGGGUAGGGGAGCGUUCUGUAAGCCUGCGAAGGUGGCCUGUGAGGGUUGCUGGAGGUAUCAGAAGUGCGAAUGCUGACAUAAGUAACGAUAAAGCGGGUGAAAAGCCCGCUCGCCGGAAGACCAAGGGUUCCUGUCCAACGUUAAUCGGGGCAGGGUGAGUCGACCCCUANCUGAAGUAACAAAUGCCCUGCUUCCAGGAAAAGCCUCUAAGCAUCAGGUAACAUCAAAUCGUACCCCAAACCGACACAGGUGGUCAGGUAGAGAAUACCAAGGCGCUUGAGAGAACUCGGGUGAAGGAACUAGGCAAAAUGGUGCCGUAACUUCGGGAGAAGGCACGCUGGUGUGUAGGUGAAGUCCCUGCGGAUGGAGCUGAGACCAGUCGAAGAUACCAGCUGGCUGCAACUGUUUAUUAAAAACACAGCACUGUGCAAACACGAAAGUGGACGUAUACGGUGUGACGCCUGCCCGGUGCCGGAAGGUUAAUUGAUGGGGUUAUCCGUAAGGAGAAGCUCUUGAUCGAAGCCCCGGUAAACGGCGGCCGUAACUAUAACGGUCCUAAGGUAGCGAAAUUCCUUGUCGGGUAAGUUCCGACCUGCACGAAUGGCGUAAUGAUGGCCAGGCUGUCUCCACCCGAGACUCAGUGAAAUUGAACUCGCUGUGAAGAUGCAGUGUACCCGCGGCAAGACGGAAAGACCCCGUGAACCUUUACUAUAGCUUGACACUGAACAUUGAGCCUUGAUGUGUAGGAUAGGUGGGAGGCUUUGAAGCGUGGACGCCAGUCUGCGUGGAGCCAACCUUGAAAUACCACCCUUUAAUGUUUGAUGUUCUAACGUNAUCGGGGUUGCGGACAGUGUCUGGUGGGUAGUUUGACUGGGGCGGUCUCCUCCCAAAGCGUAACGGAGGAGCACGAAGGUUAGCUAAUCCUGGUCGGACAUCAGGAGGUUAGUGCAAUGGCAUAAGCUAGCUUGACUGCGAGCGUGACGGCGCGAGCAGGUGCGAAAGCAGGUCAUAGUGAUCCGGUGGUUCUGAAUGGAAGGGCCAUCGCUCAACGGAUAAAAGGUACUCCGGGGAUAACAGGCUGAUACCGCCCAAGAGUUCAUAUCGACGGCGGUGUUUGGCACCUCGAUGUCGGCUCAUCACAUCCUGGGGCUGAAGUAGGUCCCAAGGGUAUGGCUGUUCGCCAUUUAAAGUGGUACGCGAGCUGGGUUUAGAACGUCGUGAGACAGUUCGGUCCCUAUCUGCCGUGGGCGCUGGAGAAUUGAGGGGGGCUGCUCCUAGUACGAGAGGACCGGAGUGGACGCAUCACUGGUGUUCGGGUUGUCAUGCCAAUGGCACUGCCCGGUAGCUAAAUGCGGAAGAGAUAAGUGCUGAAAGCAUCUAAGCACGAAACUUGCCCCGAGAUGAGUUCUCCCUGAGACUUUAAGUCUCCUGAAGGAACGUUGAAGACGACGACGUUGAUAGGCCGGGUGUGUAAGCGCAGCGAUGCGUUGAGCUAACCGGUACUAAUGAACCGUGAGGCUUAACCUU
rnacentral:rRNA from 1 species